GACGAACGCUGGCGGCGUGCCUAAUACAUGCAAGUCGAGCGGACAGAAGGGAGCUUGCUCCCGGAAGUUAGCGGCGGACGGGUGAGUAACACGUGGGCAACCUACCCUGUAGAUCGGGAUAACAUCGAGAAAUCGGUGCUAAUACCGGAUAAUCAUUUGAAGUGCAUGCUUCGAAUGUAAAAGAUGGCUCCGGCUAUCACUACGGGAUGGGCCCGCGGCGCAUUAGCUAGUUGGUAAGGUAAUGGCUUACCAAGGCAACGAUGCGUAGCCGACCUGAGAAGGUGAUCGGCCACACUGGGACUGAGACACGGCCCAGACUCCUACGGGAGGCAGCAGUAGGGAAUCUUCCGCAAUGGACGAAAGUCUGACGGAGCAACGCCGCGUGAGUGAUGAAGGUUUUCGGAUCGUAAAGCUCUGUUGUUAGGGAAGAACAAGUGCCGUUUGAAUAGGGCGGCACCUUGACGGUACCUAACCAGAAAGCCACGGCUAACUACGUGCCAGCAGCCGCAGUAACAC
rnacentral:rRNA from 1 species